UCUUUCUUCUUCGAGGACUGUCCCCGUGGGUGCUCCACCAUAGGUGAUUAUGAAGCAAUGUUCGUAUGAGGAGGUGGGAGUUUCGGAUACUGAGAUUAUGAGGCCGUGAGUAUUGUGUGGCCAAACUUUGUGUCCAUGUCUGCAAAAGUUUGCAGUGCGUAAUGUCGUGUGAAAGUGUGUAUUGAGGCCCAUGUUGCGGUGCUACAAAUGUUUUCCAUCGAGACUCCUCAUAGAAAUGCUAUCGUGGCUGCCAUUGCCCAUGUCGAGUGGGUCCGUACAGUUGUUGGUAACUCUUUUUGGGCUAUGGCACAUGCUAGUUUGAUGCAACUAGAUAUCUACUUUGACAGUCUUUAAUUUGAUAUAGACAGUCCCUGCAACUUCUCUGUUGAAGAGAUAAAGAGACGUGGAGUUUUCCUAAAGGGCUUAAUCUGUUACAAGUAAAAUGCUAAUGCCCUGUGGCUAUCCAAGGUAUGGAGAGCUGCUUCUUUGUUGUCCUUGUGUGGUUUAGGGAAGAAGACAGGUAAGUAUAUGGGUUCGUUACAGUGGAAUUCGGUAAGUACUUUGGGGAGCAAUUUGGGGUGGGUUCUAAGCAUGACCUUAUCCUUGUGGAAUAUAGUGUAAGGUGGGUCUGCUGCUUGUAAGGCAGAAAUGCUGAAUAGAUGAAGAUUUGAGUAAAUUUUAAGGCCUGCCACCUGUAAUGGAGAUAAGUGAUGUAAUAUAGCACUAUGUACUCUUGUCAAUGCUGUGUAGAAUUGUAAAUUGAAGAAAAAUGUUUGUAAGACCAUUAAUAAGGGAAAAGCUGUUUAAAAUGUAGUUUUCCAAAAUGGAGUCCAAAACUCCAUUUUGUACCUGGAACUUUCCAGAUUUGUCUUUUACAAUUGGGUAUGGCAUAGAAUGUGCAGGUAGAAUAUUUGAGUUCAAAACCUGAGCUACCUGUCAGUUAAAUUUGCAUAAACAUGAAUAUGUAUGAGCAUUCCUAUUAGCCAAUCAAUUCAAACCACGCUGGAAAAGCAUCCUUGCCAUGUCCAAAUCAGUUUAAAACAUCUAGAUAAUGAAUAUGCAUGAAACCACCCUAUAUAAGUUUGGACCGAACGUCAGUUCGUGCUGGUUCCCGGACGUAGCUGGGGCCUGCAGCAUCGUGGGUUUCGUCGGGUUAGUAGAGCAUCCUAGCCUGGGCUCUUUUCAGAAAAAUACCUGGAUGGUAUUUUUCAUAUAUAGAAACUUUUGGUAUCUUAAUGGUACUAGGUAUCCUUGUGGUAUCGAACAUCUUUAUGGUGUUCUAACCUUCUUCCUUGGGUUACAUGACGGAAGGUCAUUCCCACUUUUAGUUUAGUGUAGUUUAGUUCUUAGAAUAGGAUAGAUCUCCCAUGUGUCAGCGACAGGUGCGUCGGUCAACGUAAGGUCGGCCGUCAUCGUGUUUGUUCGACGGGCGCAUCGGAGGAGUGUAGGAUUUUAUUUUAGGAUUAGAAUAAGUUAAGUACAGAGUCUAUCAUCGCUGGUUCGAGACGCUACCGAAGAGCGUGAAAAGGGCUGAUGAGAAAAUGAUCCGUGGAAGACGAAUCGCCGGUCGUCGUUCCCAAUUCCUGUCUUCGUGGGACUAUCCUGCCUCGAGUCGCCCGACGAGGGAUCGCCUGGUUGUUCCUCGCCCGAGGCUCUAAAACAGCCAAAGGCUUGAGGUCACCAGCUUCUGCUCCACUAUCGUCGAAGACUCUGGCCACCAAGCAAUGACUGAAAUCUAACUGGUAUUGGCAUGAGGUGGAUUUGAACCAGCAAUCCCAGAGAUAAAAGGCAACACAGUGCCUGGUACACAGAGAAAAUGACAUCCCACUACUACCGUCAGCAAAUGAAAUGUUACCUUCAGUUAAAAUGGGAGAGACCUGUGCUUUGGUGAUGAAUAUACAUCAGUCUAAACCUCCUGGCUACUUCAUCACAUCAAAGAAAAAAAAGGGGCAAAUGAAACAUUCUCGAGGUGAUCAAUUCAAGAGGAGUGACAGUCGUGCAGUGCCAUGAAUCACUACAUUCUAAUAUGCCAUGUGAUGGGGUACUGGUUUCGUCAUCUAGAACGGCUGAAGUUGCACACAGUGAAAAAUGGACACUUCAUUAUGUGCACCUGGCAGGGUGAGACAAGGUCAGAGGUUUUAGAAGGAAACCCAAU